UGUGAAAGCUUUCAUUGAAGAGGUGAACGUUUUGGUUUGAAGCCAGAUAUGAAGUUGAAUGUAUUUUCAUACCACCUCGAGCGAUAUAAUAUCGUGCCCGGUGGCGAUUUAUUUAUCAGAUAAUAUCGACAUUGACAUCCGAUACGAGAUGCGGCUUUGUAAUAGCAUUCUAAUGCAAAGUACAAUCCCUUCAAUCUUAAAUUUUAUAAGAACGUUACUACGCCCAGUACGCCU